rnacentral:SRP_RNA from 1 species
GCCAGGUGUGGUGGCUCAUAUCUGUAAUCCUGGCACUUUGGGAGGCCAAGGCAGGCGGAUCACCUGAGGUCAGGAGAUCGAAACCAGCCUGGCCAACAUGGUGAAACCCCGUCUGUAUUAAAAAUACAAAAAUUAUUUGUAUUUUUAGUAGAGACGGGGUUUCACCAUGUUGGCCAGGCUGGUUUCGAUCUCCUGAUCUCGUGAUCCACCCGCCUCGC